rnacentral:rRNA from 1 species
CCCUUAGAUGUUCUGGGCUGCACGCGUGCUACACUGAGUGGAUCAGCGGGUCAGGUUGCGCGAAAGUGUUUCCUAAUCUUUAAAUCCGCUCGUGAUGGGGAUUGACGGUUGCAAUUUUCCGUCAUGAACGAGGAAUACCUUGUAAGCGCGGGUCAUCAUCCCGCGCUGAAUACGUCCCUGCCCUUUGUACACACCGCCCGUCGCUACUACCGAUUGAAUGGUUCAGUGAGAUAAUCGGACAGAUAACUCGGCAACUGGCAACAGUUGACGUGCAUAUUUGGAAGACGAUCAAACUUGGUCAUUUAGAGGAAGUAAAAGUCGUAACA